GACGUAGGUGGCAAGCGUUGUCCGGAGUUAUUGGGCGUAAAGCGCGCGCAGGCGGUUCGGUAAGUCCAUGGUGAAAGCGCCCGGCUCAACUGGGCGAGUGCCGUGGGGACUGCCGAGCUGGAGGGGAGCAGAGGCGAGUGGAAUUCCGGGUGUAGUGGUGAAAUGCGUAGAGAUCCGGAGGAACACCAGUGGCGAAGGCGGCUCGCUGGGCUCCACCUGACGCUGAGGCGCGAAAGCGUGGGGAGCGAACCGG
rnacentral:rRNA from 1 species